CAUUCCAGCCUGGGCAACAAAGUGAGACUCCAUCUCAAACAAACACACACACGAACAAACAACCUGAGUGAAGUGAAGGAAGGAGCCAUGCAGAUUCUGAGGGAAGAGCAUUUUAAACAAAGGGAACAGCAAAUGCAAAUGUCCAAAGGAGGGAUUAUUUUUGAGAUGUUCAAGGAAGAGCAAAGAAGCCAGCAUGACCGGAGUGCAAUGAACAAGGGGAGAGUGAUAGGAAAUGCAUAAGCACCAGGUCAUGUAGAGUCUUGCACACUAUCAUAAAAAUUUGAAUCUUUAUUGUUACAGGAAGCCAUUGAGGGUUAAAAACAGAAGAGUCACAAAAUUUGGUUGAUGAUUUAAAAGGCUCACCCUGGAUGCUGCUGUAUGGAGAGCUAGAAUGGAGGUAGGGAAACCAGAUAGGAAGCUAUUCUGGUAUUUCAGUGUCCUGCAGUGGAACAGAAGCUCCUCAAGGGCUCCGGUUGACUCCAAUUCUCCUUUCUAUCCCUGGCUGGCAGGACAAGCCUUCAAACAAUAAAUAUCUGUCAAGGAUAUCAAAUAAAUAUCUGUCAAGGA